UCUAUUUGUCAUGGCUGCUGUACCCAGAAGGGCCCCUGGAGGCCUCACUUCAGUCACCAUCCACAUCAUCCUUCUUGUUCACACAUCAGAAAUCCUUCUGUAGAAGUGGUUUCUCUUGCACUCCAAAGUUUGCCUCCCAGGUCUAGGGGAAGCCAGCUGCUUUGUUAUCAGGCAACCCGAUGGAGAACUCUGUGGGUUGAGAACUGAGGAUUUUCGCCAACAGCGACCUGAGAGAACCAUUUUGGAGCAUUUCUCCAGAGCUUCCAAUGAAGAGUGAAAUCCACACCAGAGUUCUCCUUGGCCCUGCCUCUAGCAUUCCUACUAAAGGGAUCAAAACCCUGAGACCAGGCAAAGGAAGAAAUCAAGCCUGAGUAAAGCACAAGCUGGAGCAUCCACUUCACAGAAAUCAGGAGUUAGCUGAGGCCCCUGGGUUUCUUCCUGUUUCCAGAGCAAAAACAGAGAAGAUCUGCCUGCAGAACUCAGUCUUUCACACCAUUGGAAAGCAGUCCAAUGGUGCUGUGAAAGACAAAGCAUGGGGGAGGGGAGAAGGGGGCAAACUGCAUGUUGUUUGCAAGUUCAGCAAUAUGAGCUCAGUUUCUUCAUCUGUCAAAUGUGUACAAUUAAAUAAUGUAUAAAUAUGCUUAA